AUGGGGUGAGUUCGCGUCCGAUUAGAUAGUUGGUGAGGUAACGGCCCACCAAGUCAACGAUCGGUAGCCGACCUGAGAGGGUGAUCGGCCACAUUGGAACUGAGAGACGGUCCAAACUCCUACGGGAGGCAGCAGUGGGGAAUAUUGGGCAAUGGGCGAAAGCCUGACCCAGCAACGCCGCGUGAGGGAAGAAGGUUUUCGGAUUGUAAACCUCUAUCGUAGAGGACGAAGAGAAUGACGGUACUCUACAAGGAAGCCCCCGGCUAACUACGUGCCAGCAGCCGCGGUAAUACGUAGGGGGCAAGCGUUGUCCGGAAUGACUGGGCGUAAAGGGCGUGUAGGCGGCACUAUAAGUCUGGAGUGGAAGUCCGGUUUUCAAGGCCGGAAUUGCUUUGGAGACUGUAGAGCUUGAGUGCGGAAGAGGUAAGUAGAAUUCCCAGUGUAGCGGUGAAAUGCGUAGAGAUUGGGAAGAAUACCAGUGGCGAAGGCGACUUACUGGGCCGUAACUGACGCUGAGGCGCGAAAGCGUGGGGAGCGAACAGGAUUAGAUACCCUGGUAGUCCACGCUGUAAACGAUGAAUGCUAGGUGUAGCGGGUAUCGACCCCUGCUGUGCCGCAGUAAACACAAUAAGCAUUCCGCCUGGGGAGUACGGCCGCAAGGUUGAAACUCAAAGGAAUUGACGGGGGCCCGCACAAGCAGCGGAGCAUGUGGUUUAAUUCGAAGCAACGCGAAGAACCUUACCAGGUCUUGACAUCGAUCCAAGGAUAUAGAGAUAUAUUUAGUUCUUCGGAACAGGAGAAGACAGGUGGUGCAUGGUUGUCGUCAGCUCGUGUCGUGAGAUGUUGGGUUAAGUCCCGCAACGAGCGCAACCCUUAUUGUCAGUUGCUAACAGGUAAAGCUGAGAACUCUGACGAGACUGCCGGGGACAACUCGGAGGAAGGUGGGGACGACGUCAAAUCAUCAUGCCCCUUAUGACCUGGGCUACACACGUGCUACAAUGGCGGCGACAAAGAGGAGCGAGCCUGUAAAGGUAAGCGGAUCUCAAAAAAGCCGUCCCAGUUCGGAUUGUGGGCUGCAACCCGCCCACAUGAAGUCGGAGUUGCUAGUAAUCGCGGAUCAGCAUGCCGCGGUGAAUACGUUCCCGGGCCUUGUACACACCGCCCGUCGCACCAUGGGAGUUGGGAGCACCCGAAGCCAGUGAGCCAACGCAAGGAGCAGCUGUCGAAGGUGAGACCGAUGACUGGGGUGAAGUCGUAACAAGGUAACCCGGGCGGCCGCUC
rnacentral:rRNA from 1 species